UCGGGAAUUUUGGGCAAUGGGCGAAAGCCUGACCCAGCAACGCCGCGUGAAGGAUGAAGUAUUUCGGUAUGUAAACUUCGCAAGAAUAGGAAGAAUAAAUGACGGUACUAUUUGUAAGCUCCGGCUAACUACGUGCCAGCAGCCGCGGUAAUACGUAGGGAGCAAGCGUUGUUCGGAUUUACUGGGCGUAAAGGGUGCGUAGGCGGCGUGGUAAGUCGGUUGUGAAAUCUCUGAGCUUAACUCAGAACGGUCAACCGAUACUGCUGUGCUAGAGUGCAGAAAGGGCAAUCGGAAUUCUUGGUGUAGCGGUGAAAUGCGUAGAUAUCAAGAGGAACACCUGAGGCGAAGGCGGGUUGCUAGGCUGACACUGACGCUGAGGCACGAAAGCUAGGGUAGCAAA
rnacentral:rRNA from 1 species